CCUGGUAAGUAAAGUGGCGUACGGGUGAGUAACACGUGGAUCAUCUACCCUGGAGUGGGGAAUAACGCUGGGAAACCGGCGCUAAUACCGCAUAAUCCCGAGAGGGCAAAGGAGCAAUUCGCUUCAGGAGGAGUCCGCGGCCGAUUAGCUAGUUGGCAGGGUAAAAGCCUACCAAGGCAACGAUCGGUAGCCGGCCUGAGAGGGCACACGGCCACACUGGCACUGAAACACGGGCCAG
rnacentral:rRNA from 1 species